CAGUGCACCCCAUGGUAUACCAUCUUUCAGGACUGACCUGUUAUGGAGAUGACCACUUUUCAACUGAUCAUAC